rfam:Nosema ceranae strain PA08 1199 NODE_81, whole genome shotgun sequence.
GGUACCUUGGCCGAGCGGUUUAAGGCGUGAGACUUAACCUCUUAUAUCCCCUAGGAUGCGUAGGUUCGAAUCCUACAGGUACUA